AUGGAUUUUCCUGGCCACUUUGAACAGAUCUUCCAGCAGCUGAACUACCAGAGGCUUCACAGCCAGCUCUGUGACUGUGUCAUUGUAGUGGGGAACAGACAUUUCAAAGCCCACCGCUCCGUCCUGGCAGCGUGCAGCACGCACUUCCGAGCCCUGUUCUCAGUGGCAGAGGGAGAUCAGACCAUGAACAUGAUCCAGCUGGACAGCGAGGUAGUGACAGCGGAGGCCUUUGCCGCACUGAUUGACAUGAUGUAUACCUCCACCCUCAUGCUGGGGGAGAGCAACGUUAUGGAUGUCUUAUUGGCAGCCUCUCACCUGCACCUGAACUCUGUUGUUAAGGCAUGUAAACAUUACUUAACGACAAGGACGCUGCCCAUGUCUCCCCCUAGCGAGCGCAUUCAGGAGCAGAGCGCCCGCAUGCAGCGCUCCUUUAUGCUGCAGCAGCUGGGACUGAGCAUCGUCAGCUCGGCCCUCAGCUCCAGCCAGGGUGGCGAGGAGCAGCCAGCCCCCAUCAGCUCCUCGAUGCGCAGUAACCUGGACCCGCGGACACCCUUCCCCAUGAGACGCCUGCAUAAGCGCAAGCAGUCUGCAGAGGAGCGGGCCAGACAGCGCCUCCGGCCCGCCCUGGAUGAGUCGGCCAUCUCCGACGUGGCGCCAGAGAAUGGGCCGCCAGGGGUUCAUUCUCGGGAGGAGUUCUUUUCACCAGAUUCUCUGAAAAUUGUGGAUAACCCUAAGGCUGACGGGAUGACCAACAACCAGGAAGAUGGCGCCAUCAUGUUCGACCAGUCCUUCGGUGCUCAAGAAGAUGCCCAGGUGCCCAGCCAGUCCGACAACAGCGCUGGCAACAUGGCCCAGCUGUCCAUGGCCUCCCGCGCCACCCAGGUUGAGACUACUUUUGAGCAGGAAGCCGCAGCUGAGAAAAGUAGUUUUCAGUGUGAAAACCCUGAGGUUGGCCUUGGUGAGAAGGAGCACAUGAGAGUGGUGGUUAAAUCCGAGCCCCUGAGCUCUCCUGAGCCUCAGGAUGAAGUGAGCGACGUGACCUCCCAAGCGGAAGGCAGCGAGUCGGUGGAAGUGGAGGGAGUGGUGGUCAGUGCCGAGAAGAUAGACCUCAGCCCCGAGAGCAGCGACCGGAGUUUCUCAGAUCCCCAGUCUAGCACUGACCGGGUAGGGGACAUCCAUAUUUUGGAAGUUACAAACAACCUAGAACAUAAAUCUACUUUUAGCAUUUCAAAUUUUCUUAACAAGAGCAGAGGAAGUAACUUUAGUGCAAAUCAGAGUAAUGAUGAUAAUAUCCCAAACACCACUAGUGACUGCAGGCUGGAGGGGGAGGCCCCUUAUUUGUUGAGUCCAGAGGCUGGGCCUGCGGGCGGGCCCCCCUCGGCCCCUGGCUCUCACGUGGAGAACCCGUUCAGCGAGCCCGCGGACUCGCACUUUGUCAGGCCCAUGCAGGAAGUGAUGGGCCUGCCGUGUGUGCAGACCUCGGGUUACCAAGGAGGAGAACAGUUUGGGAUGGAUUUUUCCAGGUCUGGUUUGGGGCUGCAUUCCUCCUUCUCCAGGGUAAUGAUGGGCUCCCCAAGGGGAGGAGCCAGUAACUUUCCAUACUAUCGCCGCAUAGCUCCCAAAAUGCCAGUGGUCACCUCUGUCAGGAGCUCCCAGAUCCCAGAGAACUCUGCCAGCUCCCAGCUAAUGAUGAACACGGCCACGUCCUCCUUUGAAAGUGGCCAUCCUUCGCAGCCCGGCCCCCCGCAGCUGACGAGGGCAUCUGCAGACGUCCUGUCAAAGUGCAAGAAGGCCUUAUCAGAGCACAACGUCUUGGUUGUAGAGGGAGCUCGCAAGUACGCCUGUAAAAUCUGCUGCAAGACUUUCCUGACCUUGACAGACUGCAAGAAGCACAUCCGUGUUCACACAGGUGAAAAGCCCUACGCCUGCCUGAAGUGUGGCAAGAGGUUCAGUCAGUCCAGCCACCUGUACAAACACUCGAAGACCACCUGCCUGCGCUGGCAGAGCAGCAACCUUCCCAGCACUCUGCUCUGACCCGACCCCCGCGAGAACGCCGAUGCCAGCUGUGGGACCGAAACUAGUCUCUUUUGGUUCGUGGUCAACACCAUUGGGUUUGAGGCUUCACACCGGGAAUGGCUCUUGCAAAUUCCGAUGACGAAGAAUGGAGAAUUAUUCCAUGUUUGGAAGUCAGGAAGAAGCUGGUGUCUGUCUGUUCUGAUGAAGUGAGUCCUGUUUUGUGGGAUCUUUCAUGGCACGUUUACCCCUUGCUCCAUCCCGACUUCAGGGCCGGUCCAUCCGGAUACGUCUCACCCGGUGACAAGCCCCUGCUCUGCUUUGCUUCUUCAUGCUCUCAUUCCGCAUAUGGCAUCCUUCCCGGGCCUGGAUCACUGUCUUCAGUUCAAAACUAACUAAAAAUAAAGUCAGUCCUCCUCCUAGCAUUGGGACAAUCUGAGGAGACAUCAGGGCCACUGCCCUGGGCCUCUUGGGGCCCCAUCCUAUGGUCUUCUGACCCUGUGCCAUCAGGGCUUUUGGCAGCACCCGUCAGGCUGAGCCCUGGCUGCCCUGAUUCCAGGGGAACAGCACAGGUUAACGUGUCUCUGCAGAGCUCACGAAGUCAGUUUAAUUCACGCAAGAACAUGAGUUCAUCUUUUUUUGUAUAGCUUUUUUAGAGACACCAAACAACUGUCCUUCAGUUCUUGUGCUUAGAAAGCUAAUCAGCAUGUGUUUUCUCUUAAUCUAGUGUGUGCAGUUACACAUCUGUCUGUGAAUAAACUCAUGAUGUUCAUUGUCGGGUUCAGCAUCUCCUAUGAACCGAUUCCUGGGGAGGAAAGCCAGAAGGGAAACCUCUGAUUCCUCUCCUUUCAACAGAUGUGGGACAGAGAAGGUUGGAGGCUGGGGAAUCACCUGUGAAGUUGUGUGUGGGUGAUUGUUAGCAGUUGAGUUCUGACUUGAUGUGAGGAGGCUCUCCAUCCACCCCUCCGUGGGGACCAGUGUCUGGUGAGAUUAAGCUGGGAGGCAGGUGGGUCAGCCUGGAAAACGAGAGAGGCCCUGCCUGGCCUGAGAAGAGGAACCGGUGGCACCAGGAGGGGCAGCGGCAGCCCUCCUUCCCUUCCACCAGGAAGCUGUCCCCUCACCGGAGCUCCGGCGUAAGUGGCCUUUGCUUCGGGGCCCAUCUCUGCUACAGCAGCUGGAACCCUGCCUCUCCACUGCUAGGUGGAAUCUGGAAUUGCUCAUCUACCUCUUAGUCAAUCAAUCAGUUUCUGUGUGUGAGAAGCAAGCUUGUGGGCCAGUGUCCUUGUACACACUGUAGCACUUACAAAAUAAUUCAGAGGUUCCCUGGAAAACCCAGUCCCAGGGUUCCUAUGACCGGUAGUUUCUAUCUGAAUUAUAACUAGUAUUGGGUACCUGGAUUUUGAUUGGUUAGCCUUAAUUAUAGCUUGGCAUAAUUGUUUCUGGUGACCAAAUCAUAAAGUUCUGUCAGGGCACCCAUUAUCAGUGGUGCUAUGCUGGUCAAAGUUUGAGACUUUGAAAUAAAAAAUUUGUCAUAUU